UGGGGAAUCUUGGACAAUGGGCGCAAGCCUGAUCCAGCCAUGCCGCGUGAGUGAAGAAGGCCUUCGGGUUGUAAAGCUCUUUUACCAGGGACGAUAAUGACGGUACCUGGAGAAUAAGCCCCGGCAAACUUCGUGCCAGCAGCCGCGGUAAUACGAAGGGGGCUAGCGUUGUUCGGAAUUACUGGGCGUAAAGCGCACGUAGGCGGAUUGUUAAGUCAGAGGUGAAAUCCCGGAGCUCAACUUCGGAACUGCCUUUGAUACUGGCAAUCUAGAGUCCGGAAGAGGUUAGUGGAAUUCCCAGUGUAGAGGUGAAAUUCGUAGAUAUUGGGAAGAACACCAGUGGCGAAGGCGGCUAACUGGUCCGGUACUGACGCUGAGGUGCGAGAGCAAGGGGAGCAAACAGGAUUAGAUACCCGUGUAGUCCCUGAGCGGGCUGGCAAGGCGCAU
rnacentral:rRNA from 1 species